CCUGCCUCCAGAGGCGGGGCAGGUGUGGCUGCUGAGUCUCCUGUGCGUCAGUAGGUGGCACAUGUGCUCACAUGUGCUCAGUGCUCUGACCUACGAACAGCUGAAGGAUUUGUAGCCUAUCGCU
rnacentral:snoRNA from 1 species